GACGAACGCUGGCGGCGUGCCUAAUACAUGCAAGUCGAACGAGUGGCGGACGGGUGAGUAAUGUCUGGGAAACUGCCUGAUGGAGGGGGCUAACUACUGGAAACGGUAGCUAAUACCGCAUACCAUCAGAUGUGCCCAGAUGGGAUUAGCUAGUGGGUGGGGUAAAGGCUCACCAAGGCGACGAUCCCUAGCUGGUCUGAGAGGAUGACCAGCCACACUGGAACUGAGACACGGUCCAGACUCCUACGGGAGGCAGCAGUGGGGAAUAUUGCACAAUGGGCGCAAGCCUGAUACAGCCAUGCCGCGUGUAUGAAGAAGGCCUUCGGGUUGUAAAGUACUUUCAGCGGGGAGGCGUUACCCGCAGAAGAAGCACCGGCUAACUCCGUGCCAGCAGCCGCGGUAAUAC
rnacentral:rRNA from 1 species